AAGUUUAUUGAUGAAUGAAGUUAACAUUUUUAAUGCCAGAUAAGCGGGAUGAUUUUUCCCGAAAGAGGCUGGCUGGCUCGCACGAGCCGCGUAUAAACCCUCGAAUGAAUUUAUAGCGUCUGCAUGCUUCGCUACUUCGCUCCAAUUGUCCGCAGGCUGCAGAUGCUCUCCGCCAAACCAGCACUGCAGGUGCAGUCACCGCUGGAGACGCUGAUAGUAGUUCAGGCUUAGAAAUCCGUCUCUUUGCUUGUUUCUUUUCCUCACGCAGAGCUUUUUUUUUCUGCUUUACCCCCUAGAUUGUGCUCUAGCGGUGCCUCGUGAGGUGUCGGAUUCGCCGGAUCCCGCAGUCUUGACCGGCUUUGCGGCGCGUCUUCAGGAGCGUCAACGUUAUCUUUAGCGGACGUGUGACGAACAGUUCCGUGUGCUGCCGCAUCACGUUGACACAACUCCGCCGAAGAACUGAAAUUAAUGAAUGGCCGGAGAGGAGCGAUGAUAUGAAUUAACUCUUUGAUGUGGAGGGAAGCAGGAAAAGGGGGUUUUGUGCUGCAUGCGCUGGCGAGGAAACGCGGGAACGAGGCUUAAAACGCGUUUCUCGUCGCCGCGAGUUUUCUUGUCGAAGUUGGCUUUGCUUAACUAUGGGGAAAUUAUUCGGAAUGGAUAUUCUGAUAAGUGUUCCUUAGAGAUGGAUCCAAGAUUUUCCGACCUUUCCCCUUUAUGAAUCUUUUCGUGGUGACUCUGGAAAGGUGGAGCGAUCAGGAAAAGCUAAUGACGGACCUAUUAAUCCAUCAAGAGCACCAGAGGGGUUUGGAAACGUUUGGAUGGAAAUGUUUGCACCUUUUUCUGGUUUUAUACGGAACUACUAAUGCAUAGUUGUGGAUCCCUGCUGGAAUCUCAAUUGUCAGUCUAGUGAAAUGUAUUCAGAGCCGUUGACAUGUAACGCUGUGAUUUUUGCUUCUUUCCCCGCAAAUAUCCAUCUUUUCUUCUGAAAGUAUUCCGAUCUAAAUGGAAUUAGUUGAGAAAGCCCUUUGUGAAAGGAAUAGACAUGGUACAUGGGAACAGGUUCCUUCACGUUGUUGCAGGUCUUCUCAUGCUUGGGUUGUCUGGGGCAACAAAGAAGGAAGCAGUGAAAAACAAUUCAGGAGUGCAGCCGGCAGGGCAGUGUGGAACCUGGGUGAAAGAACCAGAGGGAGGCCUCUUCACCUCACCCAAUUACCCAAACAAAUAUCCUCCAGAGCGAGAAUGCAUCUACAUCAUUGAAGCUCCCCCGAGACAAUGCAUUGAUCUUUUCUUUGAUGAAAAGUAUUCAAUAGAGCCUUCAUGGGAAUGUAAAUUUGACCAUAUUGAAGUCCGGGACGGACCCUUUGGCUUUUCUCCAAUAAUUGGACGCUACUGCGGCCAGCAGAACCCUCCAUAUAUCAGAUCGAGUGGCCGUUACCUAUGGAUAAAAUUUGUUGCAGAUGGUGAAUUGGAAGCGAUGGGAUUUUCUGCGAGCUACAACUUCACAGCAGAUCCCGACUUUAAAGACGUAGGAGUUCCCAAACCUCUUCCUUUUUGUGAAUUCGAAAUGGGAGGACCUGAAGGCAUCAUUGAAUCGCAGCAGAUCACCAAAGACGGCAAAGCCUUGCAGACCGAAGCAGUGGACUGCAAGUGGUACAUCCGUGCCCCUCCACGCUCCAAGAUCUACUUGCGUUUCCUAGACUACGAGAUGCAGAACUCCAAUGAGUGUAAGCGUAAUUUUGUGGCGGUGUACGAUGGCAGCAGCUCGGUGGAGGACCUGAGGAAUAAAUUCUGCAGCACGGUGGCCAAUGAUGUCAUGCUGGUGUCCGCGCUGGGCGUGGUCCGCAUGUGGGCCGACGAGGGCAGCCGGAAGAGCCGCUUUCGGAUACUCUUCACUACCUUCCAAGAGCCUCCCUGUGAGGCAGAUACUUUCUUCUGCCACAGUAACAUGUGUAUCAACAACACACUGGUUUGCAACGGAAUCCAGAACUGUGUCUACCCUUGGGACGAAAACCACUGCAAAGAAAAGCGGAAAGCCAACAUCCUGGACAACCUCAACAACACCAAUGGCACCAUCAUCGGCGUUACGUGCUGCAUCGUACUGAUCCUCCUGGUCGUAUCGGUCAUCGUCCAAAUCAAGCAGCCGCGGAAGAAGUACAUCCUGAGGCGGGAGGACUUUGACCCCACCAUGUUCCAGGAGGUGUUCCAGGAGCCGCCGCAUUACGAACUCUGCACUCUCCGCAGCGCGGCGGCCACCUCCGCUGACCUGGCCGAGCUGGCCGAGGACUUCGAGAGCUACCACAAGCUCCGGAGGGCCUCGUCGCGCUGUGUCCACGAGCAUCACUGCGGCUCCUCGCAGCUGCCCAGCAACAAGGGCAGCCGUACCAACCUGAGCGCCCGCGAGGCCACGGCCGCCAUCCUGACGGACCUCCCGCCGCAGCCCAUGAGGCCGCUUCCUCCCCAAACCAACCGCAGGAACAUUCUGGUAAUGAGACACACCUACUCACAAGAUGCCGCUGAUGCCUGUGACCUGGACGAUGACCUGGAGGAAGUGCCCACCACCAGCCACAGGCUGUCCAGACACGAGAAAGCAGUGCAGCGGUUCUGCCUCAUUGGGUCUCUAAACAAACAUGAAUCUGAGUACAACACAACUAGGGUGUAACAGACAAUCUGAAGACUUCUUGAAAAUAGUGCAAUCCUGGAUCAGUACGAACGGGCUUCAAUGAAAUAUGAAAAUGUGGACCGGAGAUAUACACCAGCAUGAUAAUAACGUGGACGUUUUAAAGACAAAUUUAUCAAAACACCCUGCAGAUGUAAAGGAGGACGUGGAUUCGGUAACAAAGGAAGUGACUGUGAUGAAACCGCUUUAACGUGUAGCUCCUAAUUUAGGCUCAUUGCCUUUUUUAAGGUUACUUAUUUAGGAUUGCAGAUGUGAAUUAGUGCUUUCAGGACUGUUGUAGUGCAUGCUUUUUACUGUCAUGUUUUGCCACCGAAAGCUGCUUUUUUAUUUGUCGAAACACUUUUAUUUAAAAUGUCGAUAUUUGUCCGAUUCACUUUAAUGUUAAGAUCUGCAUGCGUGUUUUCUUUCUCGUUUCGAAAGUGAGUGACUGUGCAUUUAGGUACAGCGUCAAACCCAAGACUAAUUAACUGUAGAUAGGUUUAAUUGCAAAAAAAUUUAUAUUUAACGAAUGGAAUGACACUAAACCCUUUCCCUCCCCUAUAUUUACUAACCGCAUGCCGUCACGAUUCAAUAAACCAUACCGUUUAUAAAUAAAACGCCAUCUAUGAUUAAACUAUGAUAGAUUUCCUUUACAUAAAUAAGUUUUGAAAUACCGUAAACUCUUCCGGUUGCUGUUGUUUAGGACAGAAAUGAUGGAUAACAGUGAGUUAACAUUUGCUACAUUUUAGUAGCACGCGAACUUUGUAUGUCGGUGGUGUUCUAUCUUUUGUAGAUGAUUUGUUCAACAGCUGAAUCACCAAUACGAGAAAUACGAGUUUAUGCUUUGUCAAAGAACAAGAAACUUACUAUAAAUAAAGACAUUAGUAAUUGCAAAUCUUGUUAAGUUUACUCUUCGUGCUUUUGUGUGAUCCAUUAACCCUGCGGUGUUAGAAAUACCCCGUAUGUAAGACACUGAAGGGUUACUCCACGCUGAAGUGUACGUUUUGUGGUCGAUCGCUUACCCCCAUGCCGCUCUAAACCCGUAAAAAGCUUUGUUCGCAACAAUUUAAGACGUUUCGGAUGAAAACCGGGAGGUUGGCUGCCGAGUAAUAACGCUGUCAAGGACCGGAAAGACGCUUUGUCUCCUCUGUGCGUCUUUCCGCAUCACUGUCGCUGCAUUUUGGAGAGAAGCCGACGCAAACUGUGUAUGCUCUGCGUCAUACGUGAUUUUCUAUGUGCAUUUACGCUUGUGAACGAAAGCAGCGUAUCCUUGCACUGAAGCCGACUGAGAACAGUGUUCUCUGUCUGAUGCAGAGAGACACAGAGGAGAUUAAUUGUUGAGUACGGUUGCUGUUUUUAUUUUUUUGGUAUAAAAAGUGUUCUCGAAAUGUUACGUUUGAACCAGCGACGGCAGGUGGAGUAUUCUGAUGAUGUCUUUCAUACUUUUCUGCACAAUGUCAAUGCAGUUUACUUGAAAGUCAACGGGACAGUCAUAAGCCUCUCGGUUUUCAUACAAAAUAUCUUAUAUUGUGUUCUGAAGACAAACUAAGCUUUUACGGGUUUUAAUGACAUGGGGGUAAGUGAUUAAUGACAGAAUUUGGGGUAGAGCAACUUUUUUAAACAUCAUAUUUUCUCUCUCCUCUCUCUCUCUCUCUCAUACACACACACACACACAGUAUGUAAAAUGUCCCUGUUUUUUAAGCUACAUUUUACCGGAGUCACCAUACUAAUUAAAAUAAAUUGUCAAUGUUUCUGUCUGUCUGGCCAUUGUCUCGACAUUUUGUUUAAACUACAUAAGCAAAGGAAAAUAACUGAUUUUGAUGAAUUAAUGACUGGAAUGUAUUUACAUUAUGGGUGAAUUUACACUUUUUUAUUAUAUGUAGACAAAAAGUCAUCUGAAGUGGAAGGCACAAAAGGCUGUUACAUCACACCCUGCACCUCUCCUGACUGACAUCUUGUGGAAACGGCCUCAGAGAACUUUGUGACUACUUUGUCAAUUUUUAGAAUUCGAUGGGAAAUAUCUUGACACCAUCUCUUCUAAAAAGUAGCUGAUACUGUGAAGCUCUUGGGGACUAAAACAUUUUUCAGACUGGACUGAAACUGAAUAUACAAACUGGUGUACAUUUUUCAUUCAGUGGAAUAUGAGACAUGUUUUUGUUUCCUCUGAUUUGACGAUUGUAAUGCUCAGAUUAUUUUUCAAUACGAACUGUGACGUCCUGAGUAGAUGCGUAGCGUUUUUACUUUGCGAGAAGCAUAGUUCAAGACCUUUAAACCAUGCGGUGCGAUACUUGAACCAACCGAUAAACAGGUGUAGUUUGUAAUCCUCCUUUACAGGGGUGGUUUUACUGUGACUAUUGCCUAGUUAGAUGUCUCUGACUAGCAUCUCAGAUGUUUAUUCUCUUAAUGUUCAACAUUAAGGUCAAUUAUGGUCAUGUCUAUGCAUACAGUAAAAUGUAAGUGUGCCGAGCAAGACUUUCAAAGAAUUGGUAUCAAGUUGCACACCAUGUCAGAUUAUUUCCCUUCUAUGCUUAUGAUUUGACGAACCUAUUAAUUUGACAACGUAUUUCCUUAAUACAUUUGAUUUAUGCUGGACAGAUUGUUUUAAAUAAAGUGACACAAACAUA